rnacentral:sRNA from 1 species
CUUGGAGGAGCCCAGUGACCUUGAGGAGCUUGAGCAGUUUGCCAAGACCUUCAAACAAAGACGAAUCAAACUUGGUUUCACUCAGGGUGAUGUUGGGCUCGCUAUGGGGAAACUAUAUGGAAAUGACUUCAGCCAAACUACCAUCUCUCGCUUUGAAGCCUUGAACCUCAGCUUUAAGAACAUGUGCAAGUUGAAGCCACUUUUAGAGAAGUGGCUAAAUGAUGCAGAAUCUUGAAGCUUACUAAUCCUGGGAGGAUCAUUAUAAAUUAUGGUGAUAUAAAUCAGAAAGCUGAUUCAUUUAAAUAUUCUAGUAAUUACAGUAUAAAUAAUUAGCAGUAAUUUUUAGCCUGAAAUACUUCUUGUAUUUGAGCCAGGAUUAGGAACACACACACACACACAGUUGAAGGAACAGGAUAAGUAAGGCUUUUGUAUUUAGAUAAGCUUGAAGUAGAAGCUUAUUGUUUCUUCCUUGAUGAAUUAUCAUAGAACUUGUUCUUGUAAUAGUUCUGCUUUUG